GUGCUUGCUUAGGCAGCACAUAUACUAAAAUUGGAAUGAUACAGAGAAGAUUAGAAUGGCCCCUGCGUAAGGAUGACACCUUUUGGUAUAAUAAAAUAAAUGUUAUA